rnacentral:lncRNA from 1 species
AAAUUGCUCAUUUAGCACGGAGAACUGGUCUUCUUCUCUAUCCUCCUCGGCCCCAAAGAAAGGAGGAAACAGACUAUCCUUCAGAUUGUUGCCCACCGGACCUGGUCCACCGCCUGUAGCAGCACCAAAACCACCACCAUUAUUGAUCACCACCCCAGUAAUAGUCUUCUUUCUGAGAUCUCCUCCAUCCCUAGAACCACCCAGACCACCGUUGGAC